UGAAGAGUUUGAUCAUGGCUCAGAUUGAACGCUGGCGGCAGGCUUAAGACAUGCAAGUCGAGCGGAAACGAUGGGAGCUUGCUCCCAGGCGUCGAGCGGCGGACGGGUGAGUAACGCGUAGGAAUCUGCCUAGUAGUGGGGGAUAGCUCGGGGAAACUCGAAUUAAUACCGCAUACGCCCUACGGGGGAAAGCAGGGGAUCUUCGGACCUUGCGCUAUUAGAUGAGCCUGCGUUGGAUUAGCUUGUUGGUGGGGUAAUGGCCUACCAAGGCGACGAUCCAUAGCUGGUCUGAGAGGAUGAUCAGCCACACUGGAACUGAGACACGGUCCAGACUCCUACGGGAGGCAGCAGUCGGGAAUAUUGGACAAUGGGCGCAAGCCUGAUCCAGCCAUGCCGCGUGUGUGAAGAAGGCCUUAGGGUUGUAAAGCACUUU
rnacentral:rRNA from 14 species